AGAGUUUGAUCAUGGCUCAGAGCGAACGCUGGCGGCAUGCUUAACACAUGCAAGUCGCACGAGGGUUUCGGCCCUAGUGGCGGACGGGUGAGUAGCGCGUAGGGAUCUAUCCAUGGGUGGGGGAUAACACUGGGAAACUGGUGCUAAUACCGCAUGAUGCCUGAGGGCCAAAGGCGCAAGUCGCCUGUGGAGGAGCCUGCGUUCGAUUAGCUUGUUGGUGGGGUAAAGGCCUACCAAGGCGAUGAUCGAUAGCUGGUCUGAGAGGAUGAUCAGCCACACUGGGACUGAGAUACGGCCCAGACUCCUACGGGAGGCAGCAGUGGGGAAUAUUGGACAAUGGGGGCAACCCUGAUCCAGCAAUGCCGCGUGUGUGAAGAAGGUCUUCGGAUUGUAAAGCACUUUCGACGGGGACGAUGAUGACGGUACCCGUAGAAGAAGCCCCGGCUAACUUCGUGCCAGCAGCCGCGGUAAUACGAAGGGGGCUAGCGUUGCUCGGAAUGACUGGGCGUAAAGGGCGCGUAGGCGGUUGACACAGUCAGAUGUGAAAUUCCAGGGCUUAACCUUGGGGCUGCAUUUGAGACGUGUUGACUGGAGUUCGAGAGAGGGUUGUGGAAUUCCCAGUGUAGAGGUGAAAUUCGUAGAUAUUGGGAAGAACACCGGUGGCGAAGGCGGCAACCUGGCUCGAUACUGACGCUGAGGCGCGAAAGCGUGGGGAGCAAACAGGAUUAGAUACCCCGGUAGUCC
rnacentral:rRNA from 1 species